AAUCAACGCUGGCGGCGUGCCUAACACAUGCAAGUUGAGCGCUUGAGGGGGGCAACCCCCAAGAGAGCAGCGAACGGGUGAGUAACGCGUGGGUGAUCUUCCUUCGAGUGGGGAACAACAUCGGGAAACUGGUGCUAAUUCCGCAUAAUAUCCUCGGGCCACGAGCCUGGGGAUCAAAGCCGGGGACCGCAAGGCCUGGCGCUUGAAGAUGAGCCCGCGUCCGAUUAGCUAGUUGGCGGGGUAAUGGCCCACCAAGGCUCCGAUCGGUAGCCGGCCUGAGAGGGCGGACGGCCACACUGGAACUGAGACACGGUCCAGACUCCUACGGGAGGCAGCAGUGGGGAAUUUUUCGCAAUGGGCGCAAGCCUGACGAAGCAACGCCGCGUGGAGGAUGAAGGUCUUCGGAUUGUAAAACUCCUGUCGACCGGGACGAAUGCACUCGACCUAAAUACGUCGGAAUGUUGACGGUACCGGUGGAGGAAGCCACGGCUAAACUCUGUGCCAG
rnacentral:rRNA from 1 species